GAUGAACGCUAGCGGCAGGCUUAACACAUGCAAGUCGAGGGGUAUAGGUUUUCGGACCUAGAGACCGACGCACGGGUGCGUAACGCGUAUGCAAUCUACCUUUCACAGAGGGAUAGCCCAGAGAAAUUUGGAUUAAUACCUCAUAGUAUAGCAGUUUCGCAUGAAACCACUAUUAAAGUUCCAACGGUGAAAGAUGAGCAUGCGUCCCAUUAGCUAGAUGGUAAGGUAACGGCUUACCAUGGCUACGAUGGGUAGGGGUCCUGAGAGGGAGAUCCCCCACACUGGUACUGAGACACGGACAAGACUCCUACGGGAGGCAGCAGUGAGGAAUAUUGGUCAAUGGACGCAAGUCUGAACCAGCCAUGCCGCGUGCAGGAUGACGGUCCUAUGGAUUGUAAACUGCUUUUGUACGAGAAGAAACAACAUUACGUGUAAUGUCUUGACGGUAUCGUAAGAAUAAGGAUCGGCUAACUCCGUGCCAGCCGCCGCCGUAAAAC
rnacentral:rRNA from 1 species